AGCAGCAUGGCGCAGUUGGAAGCGCGCGGGGCCCAUAUCCGUGUGCCACCCCGAGGUCACUUGAUCGAAACAAGUUGCUGCUA